UACGUAGGGUGCGAGCGUUAAUCGGAAUUACUGGGCGUAAAGCGCGCGUAGGCGGCUUUGUAAGUUAGAGGUGAAAGCCCGGGGCUCAACCCCGGAAUUGCCUUUAAGACUGCAUCGCUUGAAUCCGGGAGAGGUGAGUGGAAUUCCGAGUGUAGAGGUGAAAUUCGUAGAUAUUCGGAAGAACACCAGUGGCGAAGGCGACUCACUGGACAGGUAUUGACGCUGAGGUGCGAAAGCGUGGGGAGCAAACAGG
rnacentral:rRNA from 1 species